rnacentral:rRNA from 1 species
UGGGGAAUAUUGCACAAUGGGGGAAACCCUGAUGCAGCGACGCCGCGUGAGCGAAGAAGUAUCUCGGUAUGUAAAGCUCUAUCAGCAGGGAAGAAAAUGACGGUACCUGACUAAGAAGCACCGGCUAAAUACGUGCCAGCAGCCGCGGUAAUACGUAUGGUGCAAGCGUUAUCCGGAUUUACUGGGUGUAAAGGGAGCGUAGACGGAGAAGCAAGUCUGGAGUGAAAGCCCGGGGCUCAACCCCGGGACUGCUUUGGAAACUGUUACUCUUGAGUGCCGGAGAGGUAAGCGGAAUUCCUAGUGUAGCAGUGAAAUGCGUAGAUAUUAGGAGGAACACCAGUGGCGAAGGCGGCUUACUGGACGGUAACUGACGUUGAGGCUCGAAAGCGUGGGGAGCAAACA